GNAUAGGCUUNAACACAUGCAAGUCGAGGGUNGUAACAGGCCCGUAGCAAUACUGUGCAGACGACCGGCGGAUGGGUGAGUAACGCGUAUGCANNUCUACCUUUUACCCGGGGAUAGCCCAUGGAAACGUGGAUUAAUACCUGAUGCAUUUCUUUUGUGGCCCUCAUGAANGGAAUAAAGAUUUAUCGGUAAGAGAUGAGCCAUGCGUUCCAUUAGGAAGUUGGUAAAGGUAACGGCUUACCAAUCCGAUGAUGGAUAGGGGUUCCUGAGAGGAAGGUCNCCCCACACCUGGAAUUGAGAANACCGGGUCCAGACUCCUACNGGGAGGCAGCCAGUGAAGGAAUAUUGGUCAAUGGUCCGUAAGACUGAACCCNNCCAGGUCGCGUGAAGGUAAC
rnacentral:rRNA from 1 species